rnacentral:lncRNA from 1 species
UUUUCCUCACAUUCAUGCCAGCAUUAGUAAGGUCUGGGUUUUUUGUCUUAGUCAUUCUGACUGGAAUAAUGUGAAAUCUCAAUGUAGUUUUAAUUUUCAUUCACCCUAUGCAAAGAUGUUGAACAUUUAAAAAUAUUUCUUAGCCACUUGUAGUUCUUCUUUUGAGAACUAUGUUUAGGUGCCUGCCUCAUUUUUUUUUUUAAUUAGACACUUUGUUUUCUUGGUGUUUGGGUUUGUAACUAUUUGUGUACUCUAGGAACUGGCACUCUGUGCUGCUUAACCUUUGUAAACUUGACAUAAAUUAGAGGCGUCUUGGAAGAUGAGCCUCAAAUGAGGAACUUGCCUAAAUCAGAUUGGGUUGUGGGCCUGUUUGUGGUGCAUUUUCUUGAUUUUUCAUCAUGUCCACCAACUGUAGCCAGUGCCACUACUGGGCACAUGGUCCUAGGUUGUAUAAGCAAGCUGAGUAAACUAUAGAAGACAAGCCAGGAAGUAGCUUUCUUCCAUAGCCUUUGCUUCUGUUUUUUGCCUAGUGCUCCUGUGAUGGACUUGCCUUUGUGAUGGACUGUGCCCUGGGAAUUAUAUAAUGAAAUAAAAUUUUUGGCUUCCCAAGCUGCUUUUCGUCAUGGUGCUUAUCACAACAAUAAAAAGCGAACUAGGAUAUCUUUGAUCAGAUGUAAAACUGGUGAAGACUUUUCUCUGAGGUACAGGCUAUCUCUUAGAUUAUGGUAUCAUUUUCUGUUCAGGACUCUUUUACUCUGGUCUACUUGUAAACUAUUGGUCUUAAUUUCUGCAAUACCAAAGUCAGAAACAAAGUCUUUGUAUCUGUCAGUUGAAGCAUAUUUCUUACUUUCUUCUCUAAUAGAUUCAGCGAAUUGAGUCUUUAGUUGAGAUCUUUCAUCCAUCAACAUUCAGCUUUGUGCAGGGUAAGAGAUUAGUUUCAUUUUAGCUAUCCAGUUCCUCCAACACCAUUUGCUGAUGCUGUCUUUUCUCCAAUGUGUAUUUUUUUGUCUUUUCAUAAAAAAUCAGGUAGCUGUGUGAUUUGGAGAUUAUAUUUGGGUUCCUAGUUCUAUUCCAUUGAUCAAUGUUUUUACUCUGGUACUUAUGUUGGUUUUAUUACUCUAGCUCUGUAGUAUAACUUGAGUGCAGGAAUGGUGAACUCUCUAGCAGGGU